GGUAGCUUGGCCGAGCAGUCUUAAGACGCAGGUCUAAGGCACCAAUCUCCUCGGAGACGUGGGUUCAAAUCCCACCACUGCCA